UACGUAGGUCCCAAGCGUUAUCCGGAAUUACUGGGCGUAAAGAGUCUGUAGCUUGAUAUGUAAGUCUAUUUUCAAAUACUUGGAUUCAAUCGAAGAGAGGGAAUAGAUACUGCGUAUCUGGAGGUAUUAGGAGGUUAGUGGAAUUUCCAGUGGAGCGGUGAAAUGCGUUGAUAUUGGAAGGAAUGCCGAAAGCGAAAGCAGCUAACUAUGAAUUACCUGACAGUGAGAGACGAAAGCUUGGGUAGCAAACGGG
rnacentral:rRNA from 1 species